ensembl:lncRNA
GGCAUACUGUCACAAAUCAAAAGAUAAGUCUAGUUACAGCCAUUCAGCCUUUGAUUUUCUCGCCUUCCUCCUAAACUAUUUUCCCAAGAACUUAUUUGUCUCAGUCUGCGUUUUCCUUAUCUGCAGACAGGGCUAUGAGGCAUACCAUACUACAAUGAAUAUGGGUACUCACUCCAUGCUGGGCUGUGGGAGAAAGUUUUGCACAGCUCUAGUAAAACAGGUGAACAGCUACAGGUUUGAAAAGCCUCCUAGCCUUCCCUGAACCUCAAAAGGCCCAGUGUAGGAUUCCUCACCCAUCCUGAUUAUCCAUAAGUAGAUCAGACAGCAUCUCAUUUCCUAGACACAAACAUUCAGCGGUGUUCUGCAGUUGCUUCAAGAGUAAAGAAAAUUCCUCCUGGCUCCUACUGAGCAGUCACUGGCAUUGGUCAACCAUAGCACACCUUGUCUUUGCCAGAAGCCAGUAUCAGACAAUAUGAAAGGGAACUGCCCCCUCCUUCCUGUGUAUGUAAAUGUAUAACAGUUUACCACGGAAGAUGAUGCCUUUCUGACUCCAUCUACUGACUAGCUUUUACCAAGAACUACUGACACUAUUACAUAAUACUUGUUAGUAAAACUCUCACAGAUUUUUUCAAGGCCAGGAACAACCAUUAUUAUCAUCCAGUCUGAUCUUCUGCAUAAUAUAUGCUACUGAAUUUAACCCAAUCUGAACUUGGUGUGUAGAUUUGCUUUUAUGUCUCAAAAUGCCUCCUCAUUUACAAAUAUGAUACUGUUUCACCGAGUACUAUCUGUGCAGCAGCAAGUUCCAUUAAUUAACUGUACAUUGUUUGGAAAAGCAAUACCUCUUAUCCGUUUGAAAUUCGAUACCUCUUCGUUUCACCUUGCAGGAUAGGAAAGGGUUUUUAUUCCUUUGCUGCUAAUUAGGUUGGAGGAUCAUGAGGACAAAAUGUUAUUUAUAUUAUAGUCGUGCUUAAGGAGAGCUCUGAUGAAGCCUGGGGAUCCCACUGCACAAAGUGAGGGAGACCGUGCAAUUCCUUCAGGACUGAGACUAUUUGAAUGGACGAAUGGCAUAUUUUCAAAGGAGCUGAACGAUUUCACCAAAACGAAUGUCAGACAAGUCAAUGGAUUCAUACUUCUCAAUCACCUAUACAUUUCUAAAAAAUCAAUCCAAAGUUUGAAGGAAAGAAAGGCAUGGAAAAACAAAGUCCCUGAAGCCAAGAUCAAGAAAUAAGUUUGGGAUGAGGUGACCAAAUUUGAAGACAGUAUUCAAAGUGAGGAUGUGCCACUGAUUUAUAUAAUGGCAUUAUAAUAUUUUCCAUAUUAUUCUCUAAAACUCUUUUCUUCAUACAAACCCCUUAAGAUUCUUUUUAAUUCUUUGAACUAUAGUGCCUUUUAACAUCUGUAGUUUACUCUGAUCAGAUUUUGACAAAGGAAUAAAAGGCUCCAUUUUUCACAUAGAAUUUUAUUUAUUGUUUGAACUUUAGAGGAGAAAUUGGUUAACUUACAAUUUAAAAUUCUUGGCAAUGUAGACCAUUGGACAAGGAUUUCAUUAUCAGCCCUUCUGUACUUUCUGUAGAAAUGCUUAAAGUUGGUGGACAGAGUCUUGGCUAAAAAGACUUUACUUUCGUACUAUAAACAUAGCCAAAGACUUAGUUUGGAGCUGCUAGCAUCCCCAAAGAUGUCAGAGAUAUCAUUGUUCUGUACCCCCUUCCUGAUGCAGUGUGCUGGGGCCAUGCAUUGACAUGUCAUCCAGCCAGAGUUGUGCGUGUGUGCAAGCGGUACCCAAAUGCCGUGAUCUUCUCUUUACCUUACCACGUACUUCCACAGUAGGUCAGGAAAAGACCCCUCUGAAAAUGAGGUGCUUGAUGACUGCAGAGGGUGAGAAUCUUGCUCUCAUGUCACAGCUGGGCGUGAUGCCUUCAUCAGGGUAUUAGAAAAGGCUCGAGGAAAACAGUUACAUCCAUUCUAUUGCUUAAGACACUUCCUGCAGCUACUGACUCGUCUUAGAGUUACCAAUCCAAAUGCUGACCCUGCCUGACCCUACUUAUCUUUUAAAAGCUGACAAGAUCACAGCCUGAAGCAGUAUAGCCACAGGCUCAAUACUGGCUACCAAAAUGUCUGUUUAGUAUUUUCAAAAACGCUGCUCUUAAGAUUUACAAUACAAGCUGCUGGAUGUAUGGACAACACUGAAACACAACCCUGACCCCUGAACAUUCAGCCCUACUUACACAGAAAUUUGUGCCUCUCGAGGGGCCAGCACUGAGUUGCUGCAAAACAGUUAUUCCCUACCUGCAAGUGAGCUGGAAUUAAAGCAUCAUAGGGUUGUAUGCAUUCAGAUACUGGGUAAAAAUAUUUGAAAACUACAGCCUUGAUUUCAGAAUUCAUUGACAACUUCUUUCAUUAGCUGCAU